GUUGUAUAGUCAAGUAAUUAAGUGCAUGUGGUGGAUGCCUUGGCAGUCAGAGGCGAUGAAAGACGUGAUAGCCUGCGAAAAGCUCCGGGGAGGCGGCAAAUAUCCUUUGAUCCGGAGAUUUCUGAAUGGGGGAACCCACCUACUUUAAGGUAGGUAUUGCAACAUGAAUACAUAGUGUUGCAAGGCGAACGAGGGGAAGUGAAACAUCUCAGUACCCUUAGGAAAAGAAAUCAAUUGAGAUUCCCUC
rnacentral:rRNA from 1 species